GACGAACGCUGGCGGCGUGCUUAACACAUGCAAGUCGAACGGAAAGGCCCUGCUUUUGUGGGGUGCUCGAGUGGCGAACGGGUGAGUAACACGUGAGUAACCUGCCCUUGACUUUGGGAUAACUUCAGGAAACUGGGGCUAAUACCGGAUAGGAGCUCCUGCUGCAUGGUGGGGGUUGGAAAGUUUCGGCGGUUGGGGAUGGACUCGCGGCUUAUCAGCUUGUUGGUGGGGUAGUGGCUUACCAAGGCUUUGACGGGUAGCCGGCCUGAGAGGGUGACCGGCCACAUUGGGACUGAGAUACGGCCCAGACUCCUACGGGAGGCAGCAGUGGGGAAUAUUGCACAAUGGGCGGAAGCCUGAUGCAGCAACGCCGCGUGCGGGAUGACGGCCUUCGGGUUGUAAACCGCUUUCGCCUGUGACGAACCGUGAGUGACGGUAAUGGGUAAAGAAGCACCGGCUAACUACGUG
rnacentral:rRNA from 1 species